AUAAUGGGUCAGCGACUUAUAUUCUGUAGCAAGGUUAACCGAAUAGGGGAGCCGAAGGGAAACCGAGUCUUAACUGGGCGUUAAGUUGCAGGGUAUAGACCCGAAACCCGGUGAUCUAGCCAUGGGCAGGUUGAAGGUUGGGUAACACUAACUGGAGGACCGAACCGACUAAUGUUGAAAAAUUAGCGGAUGACUUGUGGCUGGGGGUGAAAGGCCAAUCAAACCGGGAGAUAGCUGGUUCUCCCCGAAAGCUAUUUAGGUAGCGCCUCGUGAAUUCAUCUCCGGGGGUAGAGCACUGUUUCGGCAAGGGGGUCAUCCCGACUUACCAACCCGAUGCAAACUGCGAAUACCGGAGAAUGUUAUCACGGGAGACACACGGCGGGUGCUAACGUCCGUCGUGAAGAGGGAAACAACCCAGACCGCCAGCUAAGGUCCCAAAGUCAUGGUUAAGUGGGAAACGAUGUGGGAAGGCCCAGACAGCCAGGAUGUUGGCUUAGAAGCAGCCAUCAUUUAAAGAAAGCGUAAUAGCUCACUGGUCGAGUCGGCCUGCGCGGAAGAUGUAACGGGGCUAAACCAUGCACCGAAGCUGCGGCAGCGACGCUGAUGCGUUGUUGGGUAGGGGAGCGUUCUGUAAGCCUGUGAAGGUGUGCUGUGAGGCAUGCUGGAGGUAUCAGAAGUGCGAAUGCUGACAUAAGUAACGAUAAAGCGGGUGAAAAGCCCGCUCGCCGGAAGACCAAGGGUUCCUGUCCAACGUUAAUCGGGGCAGGGUGAGUCGACCCCUAAGGCGAGGCCGAAAGGCGUAGUCGAUGGGAAACAGGUUAAUAUUCCUGUACUUGGUGUUACUGCGAAGGGGGGACGGAGAAGGCUAUGUUGGCCGGGCGACGGUUGUCCCGGUUUAAGCGUGUAGGCUGGUUUUCCAGGCAAAUCCGGAAAAUCAAGGCUGAGGCGUGAUGACGAGGCACUACGGUGCUGAAGCAACAAAUGCCCUGCUUCCAGGAAAAGCCUCUAAGCAUCAGGUAACAUCAAAUCGUACCCCAAACCGACACAGGUGGUCAGGUAGAGAAUACCAAGGCGCUUGAGAGAACUCGGGUGAAGGAACUAGGCAAAAUGGUGCCGUAACUUCGGGAGAAGGCACGCUGAUAUGUAGGUGAAGUCCCUCGCGGAUGGAGCUGAAAUCAGUCGAAGAUACCAGCUGGCUGCAACUGUUUAUUAAAAACACAGCACUGUGCAAACACGAAAGUGGACGUAUACGGUGUGACGCCUGCCCGGUGCCGGAAGGUUAAUUGAUGGGGUUAGCGCAAGCGAAGCUCUUGAUCGAAGCCCCGGUAAACGGCGGCCGUAACUAUAACGGUCCUAAGGUAGCGAAAUUCCUUGUCGGGUAAGUUCCGACCUGCACGAAUGGCGUAAUGAUGGCCAGGCUGUCUCCACCCGAGACUCAGUGAAAUUGAACUCGCUGUGAAGAUGCAGUGUACCCGCGGCAAGACGGAAAGACCCCGUGAACCUUUACUAUAGCUUGACACUGAACAUUGAGCCUUGAUGUGUAGGAUAGGUGGGAGGCUUUGAAGUGUGGACGCCAGUCUGCAUGGAGCCGACCUUGAAAUACCACCCUUUAAUGUUUGAUGUUCUAACGUUGACCCGU
rnacentral:rRNA from 1 species